UUUGCUUUGCACUUUUUUGGGAUUUUUGUUCUUUGUUUAUUUUUCAUGCGCAUGAGAAGGUGAACGGUGCUGGUGUUCAUGAAAACAUAUUGUGUUUGAUUUCUAUUCAUUUUGUAUUUUUUCCAUUUAUUUUGUUUUGUAUAUUACAAAUAUCAAUGGUUACAUAAAAAUGACAACUAGUUUGACAUGGUGGAGUGGUUAAGACUAAGGUCUCUCAACCACCAUGUCCCGGGUUCAACCCUUUCUACCACUUUUUCACUUUUUCUUUUCUCCAUAUCUAUUUUCCAUUUUUUUACAUAUUGAUUUUCUUUUUAACUUUUUUUUCAAUUUAUUUGCAAUCAAU
rnacentral:lncRNA from 1 species